rnacentral:rRNA from 1 species
UACGUAGGGUGCGGGCGUUAAUCGGAAUUACUGGGCGUAAAGCGUGCGCAGGUGGUUCGUUAAGACAGAUGUGAAAUCCCCGGGCUCAACCUGGGAACUGCGUUUGUGACUGGCGAGCUAGAGUGCGGCAGAGGGGGGUAGAAUUCCACGUGUAGCAGUGAAAUGCGUAGAGAUGUGGAGGAAUACCGAUGGCGAAGGCAGCCCCCUGGGUCGACACUGACGCUCAUGCACGAAAGCGUGGGGAGCAAACAGGAUUAGAAA